rfam:Schistosoma rodhaini strain Burundi genome assembly, scaffold: SROB_scaffold0002080
AUCCAGCUGAUGAAUCCCAAAUAGGAUGGAACGCACUUCCUGGAU